rnacentral:rRNA from 1 species
GACGAACGUUGGCGGCGUGCUUAACACAUGCAAGUCGAACGGAAAGGCCCUGCUUUUGUGGGGUGCUCGAGUGGCGAACGGGUGAGUAACACGUGAGUAACCUGCCCUUGACUUUGGGAUAACUUCAGGAAACUGGGGCUAAUACCGGAUAGGAGCUCCUGCUGCAUGGUGGGGGUUGGAAAGUUUCGGCGGUUGGGGAUGGACUCGCGGCUUAUCAGCUUGUUGGUGGGGUAGUGGCUUACCAAGGCUUUGACGGGUAGCCGGCCUGAGAGGGUGACCGGCCACAUUGGGACUGAGAUACGGCCCAGACUCCCACGGGAGGCAGCAGUGGGGAAUAUUGCACAAUGGGCGGAAGCCUGAUGCAGCAACGCCGCGUGCGGGAUGACGGCCUUCGGGUUGUAAACCGCUUUCGCCUGUGACGAAGCGUGAGUGACGGUAAUGGGUAAAGAAGCACCGGCUAACUACGUGCCAGCAGCCGCGGUGAUACGUAGGGUGCGAGCGUUGUCCGGAUUUAUUGGGCGUAAAGGGCUCGUAGGUGGUUGAUCGCGUCGGAAGUGUAAUCUUGGGGCUUAACCCUGAGCGUGCUUUCGAUACGGGUUGACUUGAGGAAGGUAGGGGAGAAUGGAAUUCCUGGUGGAGCGGUGGAAUGCGCAGAUAUCAGGAGGAACACCAGUGGCGAAGGCGGUUCUCUGGGCCUUUCCUGACGCUGAGGAGCGAAAGCGUGGGGAGCGAACAGGCUUAGAUACCCUGGUAGUCCACGCUGUAAACGGUGGGUACUAGGUGUGGGGUCCAUUCCACGGGUUCCGUGCCGUAGCUAACGCUUUAAGUACCCCGCCUGGGGAGUACGGCCGCAAGGCUAAAACUCAAAGGAAUUGACGGGGCCCCGCACAAGCGGCGGAGCAUGCGGAUUAAUUCGAUGCAACGCGUAGAACCUUACCUGGGUUUGACAUGGAUCGGGAGUGCUCAGAGAUGGGUGUGCCUCUUUUGGGGUCGGUUCACAGGUGGUGCAUGCCUGUCGUCAGCUCGUGUCGUGAGAUGUUGGGUUAAGUCCCGCAACGAGCGCAACCCUUGUUCACUGUUGCCAGCACGUUAUGGUGGGGACUCAGUGGAGACCGCCGGGGUCAACUCGGAGGAAGGUGGGGAUGACGUCAAGUCAUCAUGCCCCUUAUGUCCAGGGCUUCACGCAUGCUACAAUGGCUGGUACAGAGAGUGGCGAGCCUGUGAGGGUGAGCGAAUCUCGGAAAGCCGGUCUCAGUUCGGAUUGGGGUCUGCAACUCGACCUCAUGAAGUCGGAGUCGCUAGUAAUCGCAGAUCAGCAACGCUGCGGUGAAUACGUUCCCGGG